UUGCUCUAAAAAAAUAUAUUUCAAUAUCGCUUGUCUUAAAAAAAUGGUCUUUUUCCCCAGUCUUUAAAAUCAAAGGAGCGAGGUCACCUUGCUGCUCUAAAAAAAAGAGUUUUACCUAUCUCGUCCCAAAAAUGUUCUCUACCUCUUGCUCUAAAAAAAAUAUUUUAUCUAUCUCACCCUUUCUCUCAUCGUCUUCUUUAAUAGAAUAUAAUUUUUUAUUAUAUGUGGUGUGAGUCUGUGUGCUAGGGAAUAUUGUUGUUGUUGUUGUUUAAAGAAAAAAUGCCACCAGCAAACGCUGUUGCGGUUGUACUAGAAAUGUGCGCGGCGUUGCCGCUUUAUGGGCAGUGGUUAGCUAUGCGUCGUACAUGUGUCUAUGUGUUUUUCUUUUUUUCUUUGUAUGGCGUAUAUUUUAAGUGUAUUUAUUUUGUUUGUUUACAUGGUGACACGAUGUUCUCAUAUAUGUGAGUGCACGGAAUGUCAUAUAUAUAGUGAAGUAUUUGGCUUCUUAUAUGUAUAUCAGUGAUUAUUUGUUUUGGAUUAUUUUGUAUUACAAGUCAGUAUAAAAUUAAAAGAUUAGGAAACAAAUAUUAUGAAAAAAUGUAUUUAUUGAUUUAGAGUUAAGGUGGGGAGAAUUAGAAAGCAGAGAUUAUGAAAAGGGUAUAAAUUUAUUUAGAGUUAAUUUUGGAGAGUUAUUUUUAGUUCAUAUGCGAUAUGAGGAAAAAAUUAAUCACUGACAUAAAAUUAUAGAUGUAUAUAUCUAUCAAAUAAAAUGCACUAAACCAUAUGAUAUUUUAAGUGAAAUGCAUAGAUCUAGUCAUAAGAAACUCAACAAAAUUAGUUUGUUUUUUUAUGAUUUUCUAUAUUUUUUUUACGAAUUUUUGGAUAUCUCUAUUUUGAAAAGAAAAUAUUAGAAAUUAAUUGAAAAAUAAAAAUAGCAUAGGGCCGUAUUCGGCCCACUUAGGCCCAGUAAGCUGAGAGAGUGUGCGAGUACAGACUGAUAUUUUAUUUCAGUAAAAUUCGAGGACUAUUUUGAAUAAAAACAUGAGAGAGUGUGCUGGACGGCGGGUUAUAUUUCAACAAAGUGUGAGGGCUUUUUUGCAAAAUAGCAGAGAAUUGCGGGCCAUUCAUCGGACGGCCGGGAAUUGCGGGCGACGUGGCCACGCUCCCUGGGCCUCUUUUGGUGCAUGAAUCGUCUUCUUAAGGAGAUAGCUAGAGACCAGCGGAACGCAUGAGAUGGGCCGUGCAUUAAUCAUAAGGUCAGGUUGGGCUGGACUGCAAGCUGCUCCGCUUCGGCAAUGCUUGGGACGUCUUGGGCUGCAAGAGAAUGAUAAAAAGGCCUGGAAGUUGAUUUGGGCUGAUACGCCCGCCCAAGGCCCCUCGUCGCCACAAUCAGUC
rnacentral:lncRNA from 1 species